AACGAACGCUGGCGGCAUGCCUUACACAUGCAAGUCGAACGGCAGCACGGGAGCUUGCUCCUGGUGGCGAGUGGCGAACGGGUGAGUAAUAUAUCGGAACGUACCCUAGAGUGGGGGAUAACGCAGCGAAAGUUGCGCUAAUACCGCAUACGAUCUACGGAUGAAAGUGGGGGAUCGCAAGACCUCAUGCUCAUGGAGCGGCCGAUAUCUGAUUAGCUAGUUGGUGGGGUAAAGGCCUACCAAGGCUUCGAUCAGUAGCUGGUCUGAGAGGACGACCAGCCACACUGGAACUGAGACACGGUCCAGACUCCUACGGGAGGCAGCAGUGGGGAAUUUUGGACAAUGGGCGAAAGCCUGAUCCAGCAAUGCCGCGUGAGUGAAGAAGGCCUUCGGGUUGUAAAGCUCUUUUGUCAGGGAAGAAACGGUGGACUCUAAUACAGAUCACUAAUGACGGUACCUGAAGAAUAAGCACCGGCUAACUACGUG
rnacentral:rRNA from 1 species